GAUGAAGAACGCAGCGAAAUGCGAUAAGUAAUGUGAAUUGCAGAAUUCAGUGAAUCAUCGAAUCUUUGAACGCAUCUUGCGCUCCUUGGUAUUCUGAGGAGCAUGCCUGUUUGAGUGUCAUUAAAUUCUCAACUACACUGACUUUGAAUUGGUGUGGCUUGGAUUUGGGGGGAAAAUUGUUGUGGGCUUUUUGUAUAGUCUGCUCCCCUGAAAUUGAUUAGCGGUACCUUUGUGGAACUGUCUACAGGUGUGAUAAUUAUCUACAUCUUAGACAUCUGCUGGAAUGCUGCUCUCUAAACCUUACUUGUAUUGACAAUCUUGACCUCAAAUCAGGUAGGACUACCCGCUGAACUUAAGCAUAUCAAUAAGCGGAGGA
rnacentral:misc_RNA from 1 species